CGUGGCCGUAUUGCGGGGCCGAGGCCUUAAAAGGCUGGACCCGCACUCACCCUUACUUCACAAGCUCCUCCCUGAAAGCAAAACGGGCCUUCUGAGACCAGGAACGAACUCAAUCCCGAGUUGGCCAGGAUCCAGGUGGGCCAGCCGCGCGUCUCUUGCCCGGCACCUAGCUCGGUUCCCACGGAAAGACCCCCGUCUCUCGUCCCAAGCCCCACAGGGUCCCCUCGCCGCAGGAUGCCCCCCGAUUGUCGCGCCCGGGC
rnacentral:lncRNA from 1 species